rnacentral:rRNA from 1 species
UCAGUCGACUCCUACGGGGAGGCAGCAGUGGGGAAUAUUGCACAAUGGGGGAAACCCUGAUGCAGCCAUGCCGCGUGUGUGAAGAAGGCCUUCGGGUGUAAAGCACUUUCAGUAGGGAGGAAGGUAGUGUAGUUAACACCUGCAUUAUUUGACGUUACCUACAGAAGAAGCACCGGCUAACUCCGUGCCAGCAGCCGCGGUAAUACGGAGGGUGCGAGCGUUAAUCGGAAUUACUGGGCGUAAAGCGCAUGCAGGCGGCCUGUUAAGUCAGAUGUGAAAGCCCGGGGCUUAACCUCGGAAUUGCAUUUGAAACUAGGCAGGCUAGAGUCUUGUAGAGGGGGGUAGGAAUUUCAGGUGUAGCGGUGAAAUAGCGUAGAGAUCUGAAGGAAUAUCAGUGGCGAAGGCGGCCCCCUGGACAAAGACUGACGCUCAGAUGCGAAAGCGUGGGGAGCAAACAGGAUUAGAUACCCUGGUAG